UGGGGUUAGUGAGCAGUCUGGUAGCUCGUCGGGCUCAUAACCCGAAGGUCGUUGGUUCAAAUCCGGCCCCCGCCACCA
rnacentral:tRNA from 1 species